rnacentral:tRNA from 1 species
GCUGGCAUAGCUCAGUGGUUGAGCAUCAACCUGUGAACUUGGUGGUUGCAGUUUGAUUCCCUGUCACCA